rfam:Stegodyphus mimosarum contig96890, whole genome shotgun sequence.
GCCUUCAUGGUGCAAUGGUCAGCACUCUGAACGCGUAAUCCAGAGGUGCGCGGUUCGAGUCCCGGGGAAGGCG